rnacentral:tRNA from 1 species
CUUAGCUCAGUUGGUAGAGCAACGGACUGUUAAUCCGUCUGUCGCAAGUUCAAUCCUUGCA